GAUGAACGCUGGCGGCGUGCCUAAUACAUGCAAGUCGAGCGAACGGACGAGAAGCUUGCUUCUCUGAUGUUAGCGGCGGACGGGUGAGUAACACGUGGAUAACCUACCUAUAAGACUGGGAUAACUUCGGGAAACCGGAGCUAAUACCGGAUAAUAUUUUGAACCGCAUGGUUCAAAAGUGAAAGACGGUCUUGCUGUCACUUAUAGAUGGAUCCGCGCUGCAUUAGCUAGUUGGUAAGGUAACGGCUUACCAAGGCAACGAUGCAUAGCCGACCUGAGAGGGUGAUCGGCCACACUGGAACUGAGACACGGUCCAGACUCCUACGGGAGGCAGCAGUAGGGAAUCUUCCGCAAUGGGCGAAAGCCUGACGGAGCAACGCCGCGUGAGUGAUGAAGGUCUUCGGAUCGUAAAACUCUGUUAUUAGGGAAGAACAUAUGUGUAAGUAACUGUGCACAUCUUGACGGUACCUAAUCAGAAAGCCACGGCUAACUACGUGCCAGCAGCCGCGGUAAUACGUAGGUGGCAAGCGUUAUCCGGAAUUAUUGGGCGUAAAGCGCGCGUAGGCGGUUUUUUAAGUCUGAUGUGAAAGCCCACGGCUCAACCGUGGAGGGUCAUUGGAAACUGGAAAACUUGAGUGCAGAAGAGGAAAGUGGAAUUCCAUGUGUAGCGGUGAAAUGCGCAGAGAGUAUGGAGGAACACCAGUGGCGAAGGCGACUUGUCUGGUCUGUAACUGACGCUGAUGUGCGAAAGCGUGGGGAUCAAACAGGAUUAGAUACCCUGGUAGUCCACGCCGUAAACGAUGAGUGCUAAGUGUUAGGGGGUUUCCGCCCCUUAGUGCUGCAGCUAACGCAUUAAGCACUCCGCCUGGGGAGUACGACCGCAAGGUUGAAACUCAAAGGAAUUGACGGGGACCCGCACAAGCGGUGGAGCAUGUGGUUUAAUUCGAAGCAACGCGAAGAACCUUACCAAAUCUUGACAUCCUUUGACAACUCUAGAGAUAGAGCCUUCCCCUUCGGGGGACAAAGUGACAGGUGGUGCAUGGUUGUCGUCAGCUCGUGUCGUGAGAUGUUGGGUUAAGUCCCGCAACGAGCGCAACCCUUAAGCUUAGUUGCCAUCAUUAAGUUGGGCACUCUAAGUUGACUGCCGGUGACAAACCGGAGGAAGGUGGGGAUGACGUCAAAUCAUCAUGCCCCUUAUGAUUUGGGCUACACACGUGCUACAAUGGACAAUACAAAGGGCAGCGAAACCGCGAGGUCAAGCAAAUCCCAUAAAGUUGUUCUCAGUUCGGAUUGUAGUCUGCAACUCGACUACAUGAAGCUGGAAUCGCUAGUAAUCGUAGAUCAGCAUGCUACGGUGAAUACGUUCCCGGGUCU
rnacentral:rRNA from 1 species